GAUGAACGCUGGCGGCGUGCUUAACACAUGCAAGUCGAACGGAAAGACCAGUGCUGGCACUGGUACUCGAGUGGCGAACGGGGGAGUAAGACGUGGGUGAUCUGCCCUGCACUUCGGGAGAAGCCUGGGAAACUGGGUCUAAUACCGGAUAGGACAAUGGCUUGGAGUGCGUUGUGGAAAGUUUUUUCGGUGUGGGAUGAGCUCGCGGCCUAGCAGCUUGUUGGUGGGGUAAUGGCCUACCAAGGCGUAGACGGGGAGCCGGCCUGAGAGGGUGUACGGACACAUCAGGCCUGAGCUACGGGCCACACUCCUACGUGUUGCAGCAAGGGGGAAUAUUGCACAAUGGGCGCCCGCCUGAUGCAGCGACGCCGCGUGGGGGAUGACGGCCUUCGGGUUGUAAACUCCUUUGGCUAGGGACGAAGCGUAUUUGUGACGGUACCUGGAGAAGAAGCACCGGCUAACUACGUG
rnacentral:rRNA from 1 species